GAAAACUGGAGAACCUGGACAUAACCCCCAGACGUUAGAGAAUGGACAAUUACCAGAGCUCAGGAUCGAAGGAGGAACUCAUAACACUGAUCAUCAAUUAUAUACCAGUAAACUGGGGACAGGAUCAUGAUCACCCAAGACUGAAUUAUGCCUGCGAGGACCAAAGACCCAGCCGCAUGGCCCAAUCCCAAGGUCUCACAAACGGGACAGUUGUGCAGCAAACGCCUCAUGACCUCAUUAAGAAUCAAGGAGAAUCUGCUGUGAUUAGAUGCUCUCAUAAAAUCGAGAAAUAUGAUCGUAUCAUGUGGUACAAAGAAACCAAGAACAAGGAUUUCAUCUUCAUGGGAUAUCUGAUAUCCAAAAAUGCAAAUCCCGAGACAGAAUUUAAAGACAAAGUCACCAUCAGCGGGGACGCAUUCGAUGGUUAUGGGUCUCUGGAAGUUUUAAGGCUUUCACUAAAGAGUGAAGGAGUUUAUUUUUGUGCAGCAUACUACACAGCAGUGUGA